rnacentral:tRNA from 1 species
GGUAAGGUGGCUGAAUAUUAGGUUAUAGGCGAUAGAUUGUAAAUCUAUUUAUGGGUGUUAAUCCCUCUUACCA